UACGUAGGGUGCGAGCGUUGUCCGGAAUUAUUGGGCGUAAAGAGCUCGUAGGCGGUUUGUCGCGUCGACUGUGAAAACCCGAGGCUUAACCUCGGGCCUGCAGUCGAUACGGGCAGACUAGAGUUCGGUAGGGGAGACUGGAAUUCCUGGUGUAGCGGUGAAAUGUGCAGAUAUCAGGAGGAACACCGGUGGCGAAGGCGGGUCUCUGGGCCGAUACUGACGCUGAGGAGCGAAAGCGUGGGGAGCGAACAGG
rnacentral:rRNA from 1 species